UCUAGCUAAAUGCACAGAUGUAAUGUAGGCUAACGGUUGGCCUUCGUUCUAUGACCUGGUGAAGGAGGAGUCAGUCACUGUAACAGACGAUUUCGCCUACGGGAUGCACAGAGUUGAGACCAGCUGUAGUCAGUGUGGUUCUCACCUCGGACACCUGUUUGAUGAUGGCCCCAGACCCACAGGGAAACGAUACUGCAUCAACUCUGCCUCUCUGGGCUUCAGUCCGCCUCAGCCUCCAGCCCACCCAGCAACGGAGCUGGGGCUGGGGCAGGAGC